rnacentral:tRNA from 3 species
GGGGAUGUAGCUCAGCUGGCUAGAGCGCUUGACUGGCAGUCAAGAGGUCGUGGGUUCGAGUCCCAUCUUCUCCAC